UACCUGCACCCCGAGUGGUCGGGACGAUUAUUGGGCCUAAAGCAUCCGUAGCCGGUCCUGCAAGUCUUCCGUUAAAUCCAGCCGCUCAACGGUUGGGCUGCGGAGGAUACUACGUGGCUAGGAGGCGGGAGAGGCAAGCGGUACUCAGUGGGUAGGGGUAAAAUCCUUUGAUCCAAUGAAGACCACCAGUGGCGAAGGCGGCUUGCCAGAACGCGCUCGACGGUGAGGGAUGAAAGCUGGGGGAGCAAACCGG
rnacentral:rRNA from 1 species